CUGCCAUCCAUCAUUUUUUAAAUAAUAUUAUACAAAGGAAAUAAAGCUUUCAGUCCUGAAAAUAAAGCAUGUAUCACAUGAGUCAUUUUGUUCCUUUUGUCUACACUGCUACACUUCAUACCAAAUACAGUUUUUUCAAUCCUUCUGCUGAGUCGAAUACCUGUGAUGUCCCUUAGCAAGUGCUUGCACAUUCAAGCACUUUAUUCCAGUAAGACAUCUGCUAAUGUUAGUGCCUUAACAUGGGCCAUUUCUGCUUAUAUUUGCUUAGUUCGUGUGUGGACUUCACUGUAUAAUUUGCAUGAUUAACUAGUCACUGCCAGUUAUCUGACUGAUGCAAUACUCAAUAGUGUUUUACUCAUUGAAUGUUUAUAUUAUUGCUUUAAUUAGUCUCAUUGUGUACAAGUAUUUUAUUAUAUUUUUAUGAA
rnacentral:lncRNA from 1 species